rnacentral:rRNA from 1 species
UACGUAGGUGGCUUGGUAAGUCGGAUGUGAAAGCCCUGGGCUUAACCUGGGAACUGCAUCCGAAACUGCCUGGCUGGAGUAAGGGAGAGGGAAGUGGAAUUUCCGGUGUAGCGGUGAAAUGCGUAGAUACCGGAAGGAACACCAGUGGCGAAGGCGACUUCCUGGCCCAUUACUGACACUGAGGUACGAAAGCGUGGGGAGCAAACA